AUGGCUAUCAAGAGAAAGGGUCAAUCGAAAGCCCGAAAUCUGGCGCGUGCAAAAACCAAGCUCCGGCCCACCAGAAGCUGGGGCAACCGCAGAGUGUUACUGGCGUUGGGUCACUGCGGCAAGAAUGACUUGAAGCCCAAGGCGUGGGAGCAGGAGGCUACGACAACUUUGGCUGAGAGUGAUAGGGAAGGCAGAAUGGGGGCGAGCAGGGGCAAGAGGAUCCACGGGUAUGUGAAGAGGGAAGGGAAUGUAAAAGAGGCCCCCAAAUUUGAUUCAAGGGAGACUGCCCUGAAAGAAGAGGAAAGAGGAACUCUAUCCCCAAAGAUGCCACAAUUCUUGGCUUUGGAAGAUGUGGAGUUGGGAGAGUCAGAUGAGAGGGAGGAUAUUUCUGAAGAUGAACAAGCAAGAAGGCAUGUUACUCUGGCUUUUGUUGAGAAAGAUGCCAUGGUAUCCUUGAAGAAAGAUAUUGGGGUAUCCUUGAAGAACUGUUCUCAGCGUCAUUAUAAGAAGAAGAAGAAAAAAAGGUUAGAAAUGGAGGUUGGAAAGUGGGAGAGGGGAGGGUACACCGAGGAGACAAGAGCCUUAGGAACACAGAGAACUAGGGAGGCCCUGUGA
rnacentral:lncRNA from 1 species